UACGUAGGGGGCAAGCGUUGUCCGGAUUUAUUGGGCGUAAAGAGCGUGUAGGCGGCCGCACAGGUCCGUUGUGAAAACUGGAGGCUCAACCUUCAGACGUCGAUGGAAACCGUGCGGCUAGAGUCCGGAAGAGGAGAGUGGAAUUCCUGGUGUAGCGGUGAAAUGCGCAGAUAUCAGGAAGAACACCCGUGGCGAAGGCGGACUCUCUGGGACGGUACUGACGCUGAGACGCGAAAGCGUGGGGAGCGAACAGG
rnacentral:rRNA from 1 species